GGAUUUUGAUGUUGAUGCUCUGGAGAAGUUUAUCGAAUCUGCAAGUAUUCCGGUUGUCGCUACUUUUGACAAGGAUCCAAGCAAUCACCCUUUCCUUAUAAAGUUCUUUAACAGUCCUAAUAGCAAAGUAAGAAGCAGAUUUGUAUUUGUUCUUCCCAUUUACUCCAUUUUUACUACCUGUAUUCAUGCCAAGGAUUCAAGUUCCUGUCUCAGACCAUACCUGUCUUUGGUUGCAUCGGUAUGGGACUGGUAAAUACCAACACAGUUGCACAUGGUACACUAGCAUACCAAUCAGCACGGACCAAAGAGAGAGGGAGAAAAGGAGUGGAGGAGAGAAGAAGGUCAGGGGCAGUGGAGAGGAGAGGACUAUUGUUGACAGUCAAUAGUCCUCUUGGAAGCUGUUUUGGCUGUCAACAGCAGCACUUUUGACAGGCUGUCCAGCUUAAAAAUAGUUAAAAGAAUUUGAAAAAGACCAGUUUGACAGCCAGGAGAUGCCAAUAGGCUAUCUAGAUUUUUUUAAAAAAUAAAAAAUACCAGUUUUGAACUGUGUGAAAGUGUCUGGUCCGCGUAUCAAUUCCUAGUCGGAAUGGUAAAUACUGGUUGGUAUGUACCGAUCCGACUAGUUUUUUGAAGCUUGAUUCAAGAAACAUUCAAAAUGAUACUUUGAACAACCAUAUUCCUGCCCUAUGCAAGCAAUAAACAUAUUAUAUUGAUGAAGAAAAAUUAAAAGCAUUAGGAUGAUAAUGGUAUAUUAAAUAUUGCAUAUCAUGUUCUUUUUUCCUAAUUCAUUUUGGUUCUUGAUUUUCUUGGCAUCUUUGUCAUUGUAGAUGCAUAAAAAUAGUGUUGAAUAUUUGUGUAUUUUGAAAUUUUACAUCCAUAAGUCCUAUGGGUAUGCUACUGCAGUUAAAUUGUUCCCGCAUGCAUGUGGAAAUUGCAGCCAACUCCACAACUGUGGGUGUGUUUCUUGGUUUUUCUGUUUGGAAGUACAGGGCUUUUUUUCUAUUUGCCUAUGUUGAAGUUGUGAUAACUAUGAUCGCUAUUCUGCAAAACAUGCUUAUUUAGUAUUUGUUAUUUUUCUUCAAUAUGACAGCAGUGUUCCAUCAAAUUCUCUCUGAUAGUUAGAGGUAGUUGCUUAUAAUUCUCUAUAAUAGUUGUCACCGUUAACCAUCUAGAUGCAGUUGGAGAAUUCACAUUUUCUGACUGAGGGGGUGUUUUUUCAAUGUUCUUUUAGAAAGCACUUAACUGUAGUAUGUUGCUUUAUUCAUGUAUUCAGAUUCCUUCUUUGUUGGAUAUUGUAGCUCAAAAAUUUUAACAUUAUUUCUCCUGUGGAUAUUUUCUUACUUCUAUUGGUAUAUCACAAUCCAUAGGC
rnacentral:lncRNA from 1 species